AGUAAUGUCUGGGAAACUGCCUGAUGGAGGGGGAUAACUGCUGGAAACGGUAGCUAAUACCGCAUAACGUCGCAAGACCAAAGAGGGGGACCUUCGGGCCUCUUGCCAUCGGAUGUGCCCAGAUGGGAUUAGCUAGUAGGUGGGGCAACGGCUCACCUAGGCGACGAUCCCUAGCUGGUCUGAGAGGAUGGCCAGCCACACUGGAACUGAGACACGGUCCAG
rnacentral:rRNA from 1 species